rnacentral:sRNA from 1 species
UGAAACUCUGAUAUGUAUAAAGCUUCGCUUCAAUAACUUUGUCUCUGAUAUCUCUUGGGAAUCUACUAAAAGCACUAUCAACCUCCAAGUCUACAAAACAUUAGGACAUCAUGAAAGUGUUAAUAAUCCUAGUCUGUCUGUCUGUUUUGAUGAAUGGCAUUAUGAUGGAUGAUCCCAUUGCGUUACCAAGAGGAAUUGAAAUUCGUGAUGAUCCCAUUGCGUUACCAAGAGGAAUUGAAAUUCGUGAUGAUCCCAUUGCGUUACCAAGAGGAAUUGAAAUUCGUAGGAACCUCCUUAGAAACGUAGCAGGCGCUUUGCUUGGUGAAAGAGCAGAGGCUGAGGUUAGAGCUACUCCCAGGAAAACAAUUCUAUUUUAAGAAAAAUGAUUGAAAAAAAACAACACGACACACUAUGUCUAUGUCUGAAGUGAUGUUUGCAGGGUCACGCAGUACAAAAUUACGUUUUGAGACUAGGCUUUUAAAGAAUACUUUACUUUCUAAUUUAAUUAUUUCUUUUGGGUUUUAUUAAAGUUAGAUUUGAAAAUA